rnacentral:rRNA from 1 species
CCUACGUGCGGCAGCAGUGAGGAAUAUUGGACAAUGGGCGCGAGCCUGAACCAGCCAAGUCGCGUGAGGGAAGACGGUCCUAUGGAUUGUAAACCUCUUUUGUCGGGGAGCAAAAGACGCAACGCGUGGCGUUCCGAGAGUACCCGAAGAAAAAGCAUCGGCUAACUCCGUGCCAGCAGCCGCGGUAAUACGGAGGAUGCGAGCGUUAUCCGGAUUUAUUGGGUUUAAAGGGUGCGCAGGCGGAAGAUCAAGUCAGCGGUAAAAUUGAGAGGCUCAACCUCUUAGAGCCGUUGAAACUGGUUUUCUUGAGUGAGCGAGAAGUAUGCGGAAUGCGUGGUGUAGCGGUGAAAUGCAUAGAUAUCACGCAGAACUCCGAUUGCGAAGGCAGCAUACCGGCGCUCAACUGACGCUCAUGCACGAAAGUGUGGGUAUCGAACAGGAUUAGAUACCCUUGUAGUC